AGAUCAAUCGACUGAUUGCAUAAAGUGGUCAGUCGAUUGGCAGAAUAGCAGAAAACACAACAAAGCAGAAAACUGACUGACCCAAUCGACUGAUUGCAUAAAGUGGUCAGUCGACCAGCCCAAAAACCCAAAAUUCUGUUGCUACUCUUCUGCGUUCUGUUCAGCCCAAAAACAAAACGGGCCUCAACCCGCUAAGCACCAAAACCACUACACUAGAAAACGAACCAGAUCCAGCUCGCCAACAUAGAACUAGGUCUUCUACCUCUCUCCCUUGCCCGACCAAGUACUCUGUUGCCGCCAUGGAUGAAAGAAAAAACCACUGCUCUGUUCUGUUCUGAUGUCUCCUCAUAUGUUGUGCUGACAUUUCUUCCUUGCAACCUCCUGCUCCUCCGAUCGCUCACAGUUCUGCAACAAAUGGAUGAACGUACAAAUCAUACUUAGAACUCAGAUCUGCCAAAAGGGAGAACUAAAGGAAGAAAAAAGAUAACCAGCAGAAGAUGUUCCUGCUGAGUCAAAGGAGGCAAUAAUUGCACAAAGCUAUGCACGACAGGAAGAGCUCUACUACACAACAAAACAUGAAGGAUCUAGUACAAAAGGUGUUGUGCAAACAGUGUACCAUAGUACAUUACAACAAACAAAUCUAUGCAUACCAAUUUCUUGUGGAAGGAAUCUUGAUAUUUGAUUUAUACUUGAGCAGGAAUUUGUUGAGCCUGUCCUUGUUCAGCAAAAUUUCGAGAUGAAUAGUGCGAUGCUAGCACCACAAGGAGAAACACAAACUUACACAAAACUAAUGCAACAGAUGACUGUACUAAGUCAUCUUCAGAAUGACAAUAUGUCUUUCCCUAUAACAAGUUUCACUUCACUCUUGAAUGCAGGCAUGAAUGAUGAGUGGCUCAUGAUAGAACCAUUGACAAGCAAGCAUUCAGAACCAUUGACAAGCAAAAAUUCAAUACCUAAAAUACAAGAAGACGAUCAAGAUGAUGAUGAAGAUGAAAAGGAAGAUGGAGAUGAAGAUGAAGAUCAAGUUGAAUCAGAUGAGCAUAGUUCUGAAUGCAACAGUGACCCUGAUGAAAGUGAUCAAGAUGAGCAUAAUUCAGAGCUAGCUUACCUAGG